rnacentral:lncRNA from 1 species
CAAUAUUUUAAGUGAAUACCUUUACAUGCGUUUUAUGUUUUAGAAUGGAUAUAGACAAUGGAAUUAUAUUCUUAGUGCAAAAAACGAAGAAAGUAAUGACGUUAUCAGUGAUUGUGUUGAUUCAAACUGUGGAUUAAUUUCAAAUGUGUGUUCAGAUAUAUUCGAUUUCAUUGUGGAUUACAAAGAUGAUAUUGUUAUCUGUAGCAGCUAAUAAUGGUAAGUUUUUUAAAUAUUAUUUUUGACAAUGCAGUCGUCUGCUAUUAGUUUCUUGUCUUCUCGGGUUUUAUUUCUUACAAGGUGAAUGAGUGACAAAAAAACCGUGAAUACAUGUUCACGUUCAAACCAUAUCGAGUGCACCGCAGUUUUUUUUUAUUUUCAAUUAUAAUAAUGAACAAAUGAAGAGAUAAAAACUAAAAGUUGCAAUCAUUUUGAAUUAUUUUGCUGUUCAUCAGAAUUAUUGAGAGACUGUUAUUGUUUUCAAAAACAGUACCAACUUAAUAUACCCCCUUUUUAGCUCACCUUUUCUCAUCACUUGAUGUCUGUCGUCUGUCAUCAGUCGUCCGUCAUUGUAGUCCCUCGUCUGGCAUCCAUUGUCAGGCAUCCCUCAUCUGUCGUCCGGCAUCCGUCGUCUUUCGUCAGGCAUCCGUCGUCUGUCGUCCAGCAUCUGUCAUCUGUCGUCCGGCAUCCGUCGUCUGUCAUCUGGCAUCCGUCGUUCGUAAAAUUUAACAAAAAUUGCCCCCAUUUUCCUCUAGGUUGUGAGUCCCAGAACGGGCCAUACAAGGCAUGUUAUUUUGAAGGUCCAUAUCGAGUGCACCUCAGUGUUUUAUUUUAUUUUGAAUAAUUAUUCACAAAUGAAGAGAUAACAACUACAAGUUGCAAUCAUUUUGAAUUCUUUUGCUGUUCAUCGGAAUUUUCGAGAGCCUGUUAAUGUUUUCAAAAACAGUACCAACUCGAUAUACCCCCUUUUUAGAUCACCUUUUCUCAUCACUUGGAGUCCGUCGUCUGUCAUCAGUCGUCUGUCAUUGUAGUCCCUCGUCUGGCGUCCGUUGUCAGGCAUCCGUCGUCUGUCGUCCGGCAUCCGUCGUCCGGCAUCCGUCG